UGAAGACAUUUGAAAUAGUCAUGAACAGUUGACCUGCUAGACUAUUCAGUUAGGAAAUAGAUUGAGUCUUACGCCACGUUAAAGUGUAGUUAGUAACUCACAAUAGAACUGUAGUUGGUAUUGGUAGUGGAGAAGGAAAAGUGAGAUUCUCUUGAUUUUUAAAUUAUAUUUUCAGUUUUCUUCAGGAAUGUUUUUUACCUUAAUUGUUGAGUAAUUAAACAGUAAACAUUGGCAAUAAUUGUGUAGGUCCUUGAAGUAGGAGUUGCCAUCAUAGAUUUUAGUGUCUUUGGCUUUUAGGUAUUUGUUACAUUAUAAAGCUUGAUUACAGAUAGUAAGAGAUAAAACCUGUAACUAUAGGUUACAAACAUGAGCAUCAAUUUGUUAUGAGAACUAGAAUUUCUUUAAAAGGGAGGUAAUGAAAACGUACACGUGUUAGUGCUAAUUCACUGCCUUUUUUUUUACUGUAAACAGAAGAUGACCAUGUUUUGUAAUUAAUCUUCUCAUUGUUGACUUCAUGUUAUGACUAAGAAAUGGCUGAGCUUUGUGAAACAGCAGAAGGACACACUUAGAAUGUAGUGACAGCACAAAUGAAAACUCUUCUCUGUACCAGCAUAUCUUCUAAAAACCCGAAGCAUAAUUAUAAAGAAAAAUGGUGUUUUUUUCAUGCAUGAGGUUGUAUAUCAGAAAAGUGCAGCCUGAUAAUUGGCAUCUUGGCACAAGCUCUGUAAGUAUUUAUCUCUGGAAGUCAGGUUUUGUAGACCAAGAACGUGUGGAAUGAAACUUUUUUUUCCCUCCUCUCUCUCUCUUAGAAAUGUUAAUCUCUGCAUUUGCCUGAAGGCUCCUUAUAACAAUGAUGCAUUUUAGAGAGUUUUAAGACUUUGAUUGCAACAGUGUAAGUGUGGUUACAGCCAGCUACCAAAUAUAUUUAAUGGGUGGGGACAAUGAAACCACUGAGGCUUUGCAAGUUGAGACUGUCUAGAAAUAACUCUCAUAUUUCUCUCUGAAGCAAUUAUUUAGAAAAUGCUAAUUGUUCCCAACUGAGUCACUCUUUCUACCCAUUUAACUGCUUCUGCUCACUACAGCUUGUCUAAAACAUCACUCACAAAACUGCAUAAUGUGUUACUCCGGCUUUGUACAGAGCAAUGACAUUUUAAAAAAACACUGACUACUUCCAAUUCUUAUUCAACAGAUUAUAGGAUUUAUGAAGAUGGUUAAAACAAGGGAGGAAAUUAUGAGAAAAUGUGUGGGGUGAGACUGCGCGGGAUUGAAUACUGGGGAGAGGAACAGGUGUGUAGGAAUGAAGGAAACUGAGGUUAUCUCCAAUAAUUUUUCAUGUACUUUACAACACAGCAAGGAUGUCAAACUGGGUACCAGGCUGUGAAUGAGGAGGCAGCAAUUUUGAACAUUACUUUCUGAGUGUUACCUAAUUUGUGGCACUACAGUGGUAUCAGCUACUAUGUCUGAUGCAUAUGGGAAUGUGUAGAGCUGUCCCAGGUAUUUAGAUUUCUAGUAGAAACACGGAACAGCUCAGCAUAUGGUUGUGAGUCCCUUGCUGAAGUACCAGGACUUUAUGGAGAACUUCUGAUUUGCUUCUGAGCUCCCUUUUUGUUGCAUCCUGCAGAUUUAAGCAUUACAAAGCCCCAUCCAGCAACUGCUGAGAUUAGUGAAAAAGAAAUGACACAGCUGCCUUUUCAUUAUACCAGAUAGCAGAAUGCAGGUGUUACAGAACAAAACAAAAACCUUUUAAAAAGCACUCUGAAUAUAAUGUUAGUGAAUGAUGUCAUUAAGUACAUUCUAAUGUGAUACACUAUGCCUAUUCUAAUGUUGUCGUGCUCGUGCAAUGUUUAAAA
ensembl:lncRNA